rnacentral:rRNA from 1 species
UACGAAGGGUGCAAGCGUUACUCGGAAUUACUGGGCGUAAAGCGUUCGUAGGCGGUUUGUUAAGUCUGUCGUGAAAGCCCUGGGCUCAACCUGGGAAUGGCGAUGGAUACUGGCAAGCUAGAGUACGGUAGAGGAUGGUGGAAUUCCCGGUGUAGCGGUGAAAUGCGUAGAGAUCGGGAGGAACACCCGUGGCGAAGGCGGCCAUCUGGACCAGUACUGACGCUGAGGCACGAAAGCGUGGGGAGCAAACAGG